rnacentral:rRNA from 1 species
AUUGAACGCUGGCGGCAUGCCUUACACAUGCAAGUCGAACGGUAACGCAGGGCAACCUGGCGACGAGUGGCGAACGGGUGAGUAAUGCAUCGGAACGUGCCCAGUAGUGGGGGAUAGCCCGGCGAAAGCCGGAUUAAUACCGCAUACGACCUACGGGUGAAAGCAGGGGACCGUAAGGCCUCGCGCUAUUCGAGCGGCCGAUGUCAGAUUAGGUUGUUGGUGGGGUAAAAGCCUACCAAGCCGACGAUCUGUAGCUGGUCUGAGAGGACGACCAGCCACACUGGGACUGAGACACGGCCCAGACUCCUACGGGAGGCAGCAGUGGGGAAUUUUGGACAAUGGGGGCAACCCUGAUCCAGCCAUGCCGCGUGCGGGAAGAAGGCCUUCGGGUUGUAAACCGCUUUUGUCAGGGAAGAAACGCUCUGGGCUAAUACCCCGGGGUAAUGACGGUACCUGAAGAAUAAGCACCGGCUAACUACGUGCCAGCCGCCGCGGUAAGAC